CAAGACACAGGGCACAGCCCAGUGUCGAGGGGUGAAUAAGCACACUUUGCUUUUGUGGCAGGAAUACUUCGGCAAAGAGGCAGAGAGUACGAUACAGUGAGGGGUGCAGAACAGGGGCCAAUCAUCCAGUUUACCACAGCAUUAAAGGAGUUUAACAGCAGAAAGUUUCCAUUCUGGCUGAGAAGAAUAAAUAGAAUCCAUGUACUUGACUCAAGCAGAUGACUUCUGUGAUUUGGUACUGAAGAUUUGUCAAACUCCGGGAAAUUUGCCACCAGCUGCACAAAUGAAGACACGUUCACACUUUUCCCCCACAAGACAAGCCCCCUUGCUCAUCGUAUCCACUUCACACCCAGUGUCCUGUGGAUCUAUAGCUCCCCCUUGAGGGCUUCUGAAUUUGCAAAUGACAGAAGACUUCAAUUCCAAUCAGCUUGGGAGAAAAAUAGAAGAAAAAAAAAGAUAUACAUUGGCUCUGGUGACUACAAAGAGAACCAGCUGGAGACUUCUUUGAGCCUGCGAGGACCUCACACGUCAUAUCACAUUAUCAGGAGUUGGUUUGUCUUCUUUUCUUGCUUCAGUUUUCUUCUAUGCUGCUGCCAUUUCAGGUAGAACCUACUUGCAAUUUGUGGUGACCCUAGCAGGUCCAGCCUUAAUUUUUACAAGAUUCAAGUCUAGUAGAAAAAAGAAAAGGAAAUAUUUUAUUUUCAUAUGGUUCAAGACAGAGCCAGCUCUUGCAGUCUUAAUGGGAUUGAUCACAGGAGCAUCCCUGAAUACCUAGAAUGAGCAAAUUGCAAUGAUGCUGGUCAGGUGGGGACCCUUGCUGCAGCCGGCAGCUCCAACUGAGAAUCAGGUGUGUUGAGACUGGGGUAGGCGUUGGUUCUCUAGAGGAAAAUCAGGACAGUGUGUGUUAUCAGAAGAAAGAGAAUGGAUAUUGGGUGGUGAACCUUUAUAUAUCUUUUGUCAAAUAGAUAUCAAUAUCUAUCUUUCAGUGCACAAUCUCCAGCAAAACAGGCAUUAGCAUAAAAAAUAUGAUGAAUUAACAGCAACAAUACUUUGAGACACAUGGCAGAAAUAUGAUUUGAAUGCAGGAAGGUGGCUUUGAAACUAUUUGAAAAAUUUUACUCAAAGGAUACUCAUGAACUCUGGUUUCUGGUGCUGCACAUAAGGAGCGAAGUCUUCUCACCACCCUUAGAAGUCAAAAGCUGAGCGAACUGAAAACAACAAACAGCUCUUAGAUCUGCCAGGGAAAUCAGAUCUCAGAUGAAACCACUGCUCCUAAACUAGACAGACAAGUGAAUAACUAUUUACCAGAGCAGAAAUCCAUGGAGGAGCAACCCCCAUGGAACCAGUGCCAGGGUAGAAACACCAGAACUGUAAUUGACGAAGUGCUGGGGGCUCAUUGUGGACAAGUCUGGAGGUAAAAACUCUGGCUAGACCCAGUCACCAGGCAUGGGGCAGAAUGGGGCCCAUUUUUGUGAAUUUUGCCUCCUAGAGAUCAAACAGGAUCCUGCUUCCAGCAAGAGGAGGGAAAAAGGAACUAUUUUGAAAUACAACAAAGCAUUCUCUUCUUAACAAAGCCCACCCUCAGAAGAAACUGGCUAACCAGAGCCUAGUCUGCUAGGGUUUUCUCCAAGUCUAACUACCUUGGGUGAAGGGAAUAUCCAACUCUAGCCCACUCCAGCCGUCCUGUGCCACCUACAUGGGGAUAAAUUUGAGAAGUACUUGAUGAAGUUUACAGUGCAGAGGCACAGGCUUGCCACAUAGCGAGACCUAUUCACUGGACUGUAGUGGGUUUCCCCUCCCCACACCUUAAAGGCCAAUUUACACAG
ensembl:lncRNA